GAUGAACGCUGGCGGCGUGCUUAACACAUGCAAGUCGAACGGAAAGGCCAGUGCUUGCACUGGUACUCGAGUGGCGAACGGGUGAGUAACACGUGGGUGAUCUGCCCUGCACUUCGGGAUAAGCCUGGGAAACUGGGUCUAAUACCGGAUAGGACAAUGGUUUGGAUGCCGUUGUGGAAAGUUUUUUCGGUGUGGGAUGAGCUCGCGGCCUAUCAGCUUGUUGGUGGGGUAAUGGCCUACCAAGGCGUCGACGGGUAGCCGGCCUGAGAGGGUGUACGGCCACAUUGGGACUGAGAUACGGCCCAGACUCCUACGGGAGGCAGCAGUGGGGAAUAUUGCACAAUGGGCGCAAGCCUGAUGCAGCGACGCCGCGUGGGGGAUGACGGCCUUCGGGUUGUAAACUCCUUUCGCUAGGGACGAAGCGUAUUUGUGACGGUACCUAGAGAAGAAGCACCGGCUAACUACGUG
rnacentral:rRNA from 1 species